AGGUCAGCGGCGGACGGGUGAGUAACACGUGGGUAACCUGCCUGUAAGACUGGGAUAACUCCGGGAAACCGGGGCUAAUACCGGAUGCUUGAUUGAACCGCAUGGUUCAAUCAUAAAAGGUGGCUUUCAGCUACCACUUACAGAUGGACCCGCGGCGCAUUAGCUAGUUGGUGAGGUAACGGCUCACCAAGGCGACGAUGCGUAGCCGACCUGAGAGGGUGAUCGGCCACACUGGGACUGAGACACGGCCCAGACUCCUACGGGAGGCAGCAGUAGGGAAUCUUCCGCAAUGGACGAAAGUCUGACGGAGCAACGCCGCGUGAGUGAUGAAGGUUUUCGGAUCGUAAAACUCUGUUGUUAGGGAAGAACAAGUACCGUUCGAAUAGGGCGGCACCUUGACGGUACCUAACCAGAAAGCCACGGCUAACUACGUGCCAGCAGCCGCGGUAAUACGUAGGUGGCAAGCGUUGUCCGGAAUUAUUGGGCGUAAAGCGCGCGCAGGCGGUUUCUUAAGUCUGAUGUGAAAGCCCCCGGCUCAACCGGGGAGGGUCAUUGGAAACUGGGGAACUUGAGUGCAGAAGAGGAGAGUGGAAUUCCACGUGUAGCGGUGAAAUGCGUAGAGAUGUGGAGGAACACCAGUGGCG
rnacentral:rRNA from 1 species